rnacentral:rRNA from 1 species
AAUCAACGCUGGCGGCGUGCCUCAGACAUGCAAGUCGAACGAUUAAAGCUCUCUUCGGAGAGUGUAUAGAGUGGCGCACGGGUGAGUAACACGUAAGUAAUCUACCUUUGAGUGGGGAGUAACGUCCGGAACGGACGCUAAUACCGCAUAAUGCAGCGGCAUCGCAAGAUGACAGUUGUUAAAGAAUUUAUUCGCUUGAAGAGGA